UACGAAGGGGGCUAGCGUUGUUCGGAUUUACUGGGCGUAAAGCGCACGUAGGCGGAUCGAUCAGUCAGGGGUGAAAUCCCAGAGCUCAACUCUGGAACUGCCUUUGAUACUGUCGAUCUGGAGUAUGGAAGAGGUGAGUGGAAUUCCGAGUGUAGAGGUGAAAUUCGUAGAUAUUCGGAGGAACACCAGUGGCGAAGGCGGCUCACUGGUCCGAUUACUGACGCUGAGGGUGCGAAAGCGUGGGGAGCAAACAGG
rnacentral:rRNA from 1 species